rnacentral:rRNA from 1 species
GAAUGCUAAAAGAAUGGAAAUUUAAAAAAAAACUUUUUUAAAAAUAAAAAUUGAAUUUUUUUUAAUUUGUGCAAAAACAAUUAUAUUUAUUAAAGACAAGAAGACCCUAAGAAUUUAAGAUUUUAUAAUUAAAAAGUUUUUUUUUUUAAAAUCUUGAUUGGGGCGAUCAAAAAAUAUUAAUAACUUUUUAAAAUUUAAAUUGAUCUAUUAUUAAUAAACUAAUGAAUUAAAUACUCUAGGGAUAACAGCGUAAUAAUUUUUGAUAGAUCUUAUUGACAAAAUAGUUUGCGACCUCGAUGUUGGAUUAGGAUUCUUUUUUAAUGAAGAAGUUAAAAAAAGAAGUUUGUUCAACUUUUAAAUUCCUACUUGAUCUGAGUUCAAACCG